rnacentral:rRNA from 1 species
UACGUAGGGUGCGAGCGUUAAUCGGAAUUACUGGGCGUAAAGCGUGCGCAGGCGGUUUUGCAAGCCGGAUGUGAAAUCCCCGGGCUCAACCUGGGAAUGGCAUUCGUGACUGCAAGGCUGUAGUGCGGCAGAGGAGACUGGAAUUCCUGGUGUAGCAGUGAAAUGCGUAGAUAUCAGGAGGAAUACCGAUGGCGAAGGCAGGUCUCUGGGCUGACACUGACGCUCAUGCACGAAAGCGUGGGGAGCAAACAGG